CUGGACUUGCAUAGAGUGAGAGACAGAGAGGGAGAAGGAGGGAGGGGACGUUUCACUGCCAAUUAAAAGAAGAAGAAGAUUUGCUGAAGGAAAGUCUAGAGAGGAGGAAGGGAUGUCUUGGUCGAUUGGGUUUUCAGGAUAGUUAAAUUAGAAAUCAAGAGAAGGAGAAGGAGGGUUUUCAGUCCGUUCCCAAUUUGGGAAUAUCUGUUUCACCUUCAAAGUUUCAAUCUUCAAAGGUAAAAGAUACAGAGAUACACCAACCUGAUAAACCAUAAUCUCCAGCAAUAAAGCCUUAUUAUUGUUACAGGAUAUUGCUUUAGCUCCCACAUCAAGCUAAAAACAUUUGCAACGACAUCGGAAUUUCAAGCUGAUGGGUUGAUAUAUAUUGGUAAGCUACACAUAUCUAAACAUAACUUGAAGUUCUUUGGUUUAAAGUUUAAAC